AGGGAAAUAAUUUAAUUGGUAAAAUGCUGGUCUCCAAAACUGGUUAUAAAGGUUCAAUUCCUUUUUUCCCUG
rnacentral:tRNA from 2 species